CUACGGAUGUCUCUGUCAGGGAUUGUCACGUGAAGGAUUUGCAGCAGCAGCAGCUCCAGAGUGACGCCUGAUGCUCGGGAGUGCUGAGCUCAACCCGUCGCCCGCUCUAUUUGAGGUGCCCUUCUAUGAAUUUUGGCAACUGCAUACUUGCUUUAUCGCUCUGCAAAUGCGCUUCCAUUAAAAAAAAAACCCAACCAAACAAAAACCAAAAAACAAACCCUCAGCUUUUCACCGUUUGAUGUGUGUCCUCGGCCCCAUUCAUUUGCUAGACGUUUUCCUCCUUUGAUCUAUUGGUAAUGGUGUUCACUUAGGAGAGGUAUUCAGCUGAGCAGGCUUCGCUAUUCUAUCAAGGAAUUUGAAUAAAUACAAUUAUUUCUUAUUUUCUAUCAUGGAAUAGCUAAGAGCUUUAGACAUAGAAAAAGAAUGGGGCAAAAAGGAAUUUCAGGGCUUCCUUUAAUAGAGCUUUACAAUGCAGUCAGUAAAUCUGGCUUGUUAAUGAAAUGUUCCUAAUAGCUACAAUUAGGGCCUCUGCUGACUUUAUCUUUGAAUUGAAAAUAAUUUUUUUCAAUGAACCUUUCAAUACUAAACUUUUAUUGCCAUGUUGCUGGCUUGGUUGAUCAUAGUUUUUAUGUGAACUCUAUCUUUCCUAAGUGGAAGAGCAGGGAUGUCGUAUAAUAUCUAUUUAAAGCACGACCAGUGUUCAUCAGUCAACAGAUUUUUUGGCAAAUUAAAUAUUCCUGGUUAUUAAUAUUGGUGGGAAAAAAAUGAAUGUAUUUUUUGAACACAAGUACGGAAAAAUAGUUCCAACACUUUUUUGAGGGGUGGGUCUAUUUUUAUAAUUUUUUAACCAUGCUUACUCCCUAAGAGAGUUGGUUGCAGAGAAAGAAUGGUACAGCAAGAUAAUGCCGUGUUCUCUCCCAGCCUCUGCCUAGCAAAAGGGAAAUGUGCUGGGGAUUUAUUCUGUUGCCUGGAGCUGACAGACUGACUUCUUCCUGCCCCUGGAAUGGUGCAGGUGGGCCAGAACACUUGCACCAGCACCCUGGUUUAACUUUUUUUUGGUAAGAACAAGUGCCUGAGUGACCUGGUUAGCAAGCACUGUGCUUUACUAAUUAAGCAGUGACUAAUACAAUGCAAAGGAUUAAUUUUGAUUUCUCCACCAACUGCUUCCCCCUCCCCCACACUCUUACACUCUUCUUAUCCCUGCUUUUUUCUUCUCAAUCUCUUACAGUCUGGCUGAAAUGCUGAUUUUUUUUUUCCUCUGCUCCUGAAACAACUUUGGGCCAUUCCCUUUUUUAUCUUAGUUCGCUGGGUUCUCUUUGCAUAAUAGAUCAUCUUUGUCCGAAAAGCAGUGCCAACAGCCACUCCCAGUGCCAUUCAUACACAGUGUGUGUCUUGCCCCGGAUCCUGUCACAUGAUGUUUCCCAUGUUAGGUGUGGUGCUGAAUGUGCUAAACAGAACUCAGACACAAAGGGGAAAUGACCAAAACCCAUGGCCUUAAAUUCAUGGCUCUCAACCAGCCCCUUCAUGCAGAACUCCCAUCAAAAGUCAGUAUUUCUGUGCAUCCAGUGCGGGCAGGACCAAACCCUUAAAAUCAGAUAACAUUCAGAUCCCCAGUACAGUAUUUGUGGCAUCAGUGGGGUGAAUUCAUCUGCAUUUCAAGGCAGAAUGCAUUCAUCUGUACUUUCUCCUGGCUUUUGUUCGCAAAAAACAACAAACACCCCCCCACACACACACACAUUAGCAGAGCCAUGUUACUGCUUCCUGCUUCUGUUGUUUAGUGUUUUGCAGCUACCACGGCUGGCCAAGAAGCUGUAAAUCUUGCCUUGUGUUCUGUAACAAAGAGAAAAAUAGAAUGAUUUGUGUUGACUUUUGGUCAUCGUGUAUCAUUAUCGAUCCGAGGGAGGGCGGCGGGGGAACGCGUUACCGUGUAUCUGUUGCUCGCCAGUUCUCCGGGAAGGCGGCGUUACCCAGCAGUCAGUAGAGGGCAAUAGAGAAAUACAGUUUUGUGAUGCCUAAAGGAUUUGAAGCCCUGAUUAUGUGUUUACAGAAAAGAAAAAGAAGAAAAGAAGAGCCAGGAGGAUAGGUUGUUCAGUUUACUACCGGAGACCUGACUGUGACAGACUACCAAGGAAACAAAAUUUUCUAAGAGAGUAAAGAAGACCUUCUGCAGCAUUUGCAAGGGUCUCCUUUUUUUCUUCAGAGUUACGUGGGAUAACUUAGCCAGAACUUAUUGAUGUCUGCAUGUUCAGUGGACUCGGGAAUGGACUGGGAGAUGCAGAAAGGCACUCUUUGGAAGGAACAGAAGAGGAGGCGUUUCAAAAAUCCUGCAGGUGACCGAGGUGAUGAUCUGCUGACAGAAUAAAUAAAUCAUAGAUAGUACUGAGACUGCUCAGCCAUUUGCUGUGGUAUCACUUCUACAUAAGGCUAGGUCUGGGCCUGUGCCUUCCUCAUCAGCAUGCCUAUUAAUGUCAAGACUGAGGACAUGAGAAGGCUGGGGUGACCAGCGCACAGCAGUGAAAAAGAUGCCAGUACAAGGAUCAAGACUAAAAGUGAUCAGACUUCAGACAGAGAAGGAAUAGGAAAAUUGCUGAGGUCUCCACACAGGUGUCUGAUAACAGUCCCACCAAGGUGGAAGUCAAACUGUCUCACAACUCGGCCUCUUCUCCCUAGUGCCUGUGGAGGCAGCUUCCAGCAUGACACAUCCCAUCUUUGCCUCUCCAAAGUAUGGGACUGCUGGCAUCGUUCUCUGAAGGGUCUAGUGCUGGUACUUCUAGACACUAGGCUGUUUCCUUUCAGGAAGUUUCUUCUACGUGUUCUGCAGACUGCUGGUACUGAUGAUGAUAAUGAAGAGGCCACUCAUUAGGAGAGAGGCUUUUUAGUGAUCAGGCUUUCCGCUUACUUCAGGAAUACUGUUGAAAAAGGGUAGACCAAAAGAUGCUAUUAAUUUGGACCUGUUCAAGAACUGAACUUCAUCACAAAGGCAUCUCUGCCCAACCUGUCAACUAAGGAGGGUUUGGAGGACUGCUUUCUCCUCUGACUUGCUUUCAGCAUUACUGAACAACAGCCAGAGUUCCCAGCAACACUGCGUUGGACAGCCCUGCUUGUUGGAAGAAGGUGAAGAAGGAGCUUCCUACUUGGGUACCUUGGGAGGGAAGUGACCGUUGUGGAUGGAGGCGUGCAGACAACAUACCCAAAGUCCCACUGCUUUCCUGUGCAGGGAAAUCCUUCAGCUUGACUGGAGUCAGAGGAAACCUGGUCUCCGUCCCCACACAAGGUCACACUGCAGUCUUGGGGAUCAAUUUUCCUGAAUAAACCAGAGGUUUCCUCCCAGUGGACACUCUUAUGCUCUCUUUCUCUAGCAAGCAGCUUUGAUUCAGGAAACUUUUUCCGCUGAUUGGGUAUCAGUUGAUUGUUACUGGAGUGCUGGGGUACUGGAGAGUUGGAUGAUGAAAUGCCUGACCUGUGGCUGCCCAAUCUCAUGGUGCUUCUUCUCUUCAAUAAUGCUCCCACACAGACAUCCAUUUACUUAUCUAACCACGGGCUAACUUUUUGUCUGGUUUUUUUUGAGCUGUUGUGGGAUUUGUUUCCAGUAGGCGUAUUACUUGAUUAAUGACCUUUCUGUUAACACUUGCUCAUAUUCCAUAUGGGAUCUUCUUGGGCUAUCUAAAUGCACAAAAUACUUAAACUAAUUUUUUUUCUCAGCUCAUCUCUGUUUUUAAUAACACAAUUUUUUUCUCCUGCCUCCAAAAAAAAAAGAGCAUUUUCUAGCUUGCUCAAGCUCACGUUGAAUGUUUCUUGUGAUUCAUGUUGUCACUUUAUGCAGUAUUCCAAGAAAACAGAGCAUGGACAGGCUCUGUCAGGAAGGGUUUUGUAAUCUAUUUGUCAUUUCUUUUCUGUAUAGAUUAAGGACUAAAUUUUGUGAUGGCAGAUGAAUUUGUAGACCCCAUCUCCUUGAAAUCACGCCAGCUAUUCAAAAGAGAGAAACUGCUUUUCUUUCAACCCAUGAUCGUAGCGCUUUCCUGGAUGCAAGUUGAAAAAAUAUUUACAUCACUAUAAAUAAGCAGUGUGUAACUAUAAAUAAAGAACACGGGUAAUAAAGUGUUAUCAUUGAAGUUGAAAUUAAAAUUGGAUCCUGCCAAACCCUAAACAUAGAUCACGACAGAAAAAUCCAAUAAGGUUUUUUUGUGUGUUUGUUUGUAGGUGCUGUAAUUAUAGACUAGAUAAAGGAAAGAAAAGAUUAUACAGCAGACAUAAUUUGUAAUGAUUACAGUAAUAUUUCUGAUGCAAUGCCAUGAAAAGAAUGACUACUUGUGCAUGGCAUUCACACGUGCAUCUACAUCCCUCCUCAGGGAGGUGCCCUCUGCAGCACUUACCUGAUAACCUGAGACAUGUCACAGCCUGUAUGACCAUGGGCUGUGUGACCACAGCCUGUAUGACCACAGGCCUGUUUCCAAAGAAUAUGCUCUGGUGUGCACUGGGUGACUCCUGCUAGGGUUGUCCCUGAACCUGACCUCAUGCAGCUAGAUGUUACCCUGUUGUAUGGUAAAUUAAGAAGCCCUGGAGCAGAGGGAUAUGUUGACUGUCUGUAAAUGCAAGAUGUUCAUCUUGAAUUAAGUUACUUCUUUAUCACUAGGGUUUGGUCCGAGCACUGUGCCCUCCAUUGGCAGAGCAGGAAAAGAUUUGCCUCCAUUGGGAACAUGGACCGUUGUGAAAAAGUGCAGUUGGGCGCAGAAAAGCCCUGAGAGAUGUUCAUGCAAAACCAGAAAGCAUUUCGUUUUAGUUACCAAGAGUGAAGUCUCUUCUUGCCUUUCUGGAAACCAAGGCUUGAGGCCAAAAGCAAUUUCUUGUACUUCAAUAACUGAAAAUAAAGCCUUAAAAAAGAACAUGUCAGGGAAUUAAAUGAGAACCACAAGUUUAGCAGGGCUAGUGAUUGCCCUGGAGAAUAUUGAGGUGAAAUGUAUAGAAAAGAGGGGGUUAGAGACACAGUUAAGUGAAUUACUAGUCCCAUCUGUAACACCUGUCAUAGUCCUGACUGCUGGGUAUUUACUUUCAAAGAAAUCAGCUUGCACUACUGUUUGAUGAAGAGCCCUAAAUCAGGUGUUACAGGCACAAUUACUGAAAAUGAAUCUGUCAGAGCAAAUCUCAGGUAAUCAGAGUCCUGUUUGGGCUCCCCUCCUGUACCCAUCCUUACCUUAGGGAUAACCGAAACCAAUGUUCCUCAAAUCUAUUGGGAAUGAGCAACACAGAUACAAGGUAGACUUACUAAGAAGGUUAAAGCAACUUUAACAUGUUUGCCACAGGCUGAUAACGGCAUCUGGGAGUCAGCCAUCCACAGGGGCAUGUCAAAUGGUGUUUGUAUCUCCAUGAAAAGAAUCAGGAUUAUUUUAGUGCCAAACAGAAGACAUAAUCUGAUGCAAUUUUCAGAAGCACCAUCAGCCCCUGAUAGACAACAUAUGCCCACAGCUUCUCACACCUUCCUGCAGUAGCGGGUAUGUUCUGAUAGGGUUUCAGUGCGCAGUGCAUGACAGAUGAUUUGAAAACUGAGUAUUCCUGAGGAAUGGGCAUGAGACUCGUUUGAUUCUCUGAACUCAGUCCAUUGACUAGUGUCUCUGAGCAAAGAUGUUUUUUUCAAUAACUAGAUCUCUGUUUAGUUGUGCCUUUCUUAUUAUAGAUGAGAUUUCCCCCAGCUUGUCCUUUGUCUUUAAGCUAUGAAAGUUUCUGUAGAAAAUUAUGCAAGAAUAUAUAAAAGGCUAUGGACAAUAUCAAGAAAUGAGUAUGCUAACAUUUCUGUUUCUUGGACACAUUUUGGUUGGGUUUAGUUUUUUGUUA